UACGGAGGGGACUAGCGUUGUUCGGAAUUACUGGGCGUAAAGCGCACGUAGGCGGAUUUGUAAGUCAGGGGUGAAAUCCCGGGGCUCAACCCCGGAACUGCCUUUGAUACUGGGUAUCUCGAGUCCGAGAGAGGUGAGUGGAAUUCCGAGUGUAGAGGUGAAAUGCGUAGAUAUCUGGAGGAACACCGGUGGCGAAGGCGACAUCCUGGACCGGUAUUGACGCUGAGGCGCGAAAGCCAGGGGAGCAAACGGG
rnacentral:rRNA from 1 species